UCUCCGUAGGUGAACCUGCGGAGGGAUCAUUACCGAGUUCAUGCCCUUACGGGUAGAUCUCCCACCCUAUGUUAUUAUUACCUUUGUUGCUUUGGCGGGCCGCCAGGCUCCGGUCAGGCUAUCGGCUUCGGCUGGUAAGCGCCCGCCAGAGGACCCAAUAUCCUGAUUAUUAGUGUCGUCUGAGUACUAUAUAAUAGUUAAAACUUUCAACAACGGAUCUCUUGGUUCUG
rnacentral:misc_RNA from 1 species